rnacentral:lncRNA from 1 species
GUGCCAUGCCCAAAAUAGUAAUCUUGUUGGGGAGGUAAAUUUGUAGAGUCUGCUGGUGUCCCAGUCACAGGACUCUACUGCUUUCUGGACGCAUGGAUCCACAUAGUGUUAAAUUUACUCACAUGGAUUGAUCACUGCAAACUUGGGCAAAAGUGGGUCUUUGCAUAGUGACUCACAAAAUAAUGUGAACAUUCCCAUUUUUGUUUUCAUGGUUUCGUCACUAUUAUUCCCAUUUGCCUUCUAUCCUUUACAGGUCAGAUGCAGAAGAAAUGAAAAGACCGUUCAUCCAUUACACAGAGCAAUGGGCACAAUGACAUUCACCAUGGCUUUUACCUGCUUUACUGAAAUGACCAGACAGCCUUGUACUUGAGGAAUGCUCAUCUGAAAAUCUGAAAAUGAA